CCUUUUGUAGAAUGAACCGGCGAGUUACGAUCUGAUGCAAGGUUAAGCAGAAAAUGUGGAGCCGUAGCGAAAGCGAGUCUGAAUAGGGCGAAUGAGUAUUUGGUCGUAGACCCGAAACCAGGUGAUCUACCCUUGGUCAGGUUGAAGUUCAGGUAACACUGAAUGGAGGACCGAACCGACUUACGUUGAAAAGUGAGCGGAUGAACUGAGGGUAGCGGAGAAAUUCCAAUCGAACUUGGAGAUAGCUGGUUCUCUCCGAAAUAGCUUUAGGGCUAGCCUCAAGUGAUGAUUAUUGGAGGUAGAGCACUGUUUGGACGAGGGGCCCCUCUCGGGUUACCGAAUUCAGACAAACUCCGAAUGCCAAAUAAUUUAACUUGGGAGUCAGAAUGUGGGUGAUAAGGUCCAUAUUCGAAAGGGAAACAGCCCAGACCACCAGCUAAGGUCCCAAAAUAUAUGUUAAGUGGAAAAGGAUGUGGCGUUGCCCAGACAACUAGGAUGUUGGCUUAGAAGCAGCCAUCAUUUAAAGAGUGCGUAAUAGCUCACUAGUCGAGUGACACUGCGCCGAAAAUGUACCGGGGCUAAACAUAUUACCGAAGCUGUGGAUUGUCC
rnacentral:rRNA from 1 species